rnacentral:tRNA from 1 species
CCUCCUUUCUAAGGAGAAAUCCUCUCUUUUCACGGAGAAGGAUAUGGUCGAGCUCAAAUUCGACGGUCACGCAUGCCCUUAUUUUUGGGCUUGUAGCUCAGUUGGUUAGAGCGCAUCCCUGAUAAGGAUGAGGUCCGUGGUUCGAAUCCACGCAGGCCCACGAUGAGCUGCGGCUUUGAUUUCAUGGGGCUAUAGCUCAGUUGGGAGAGCGCCUGAUUUGCAUUCAGGAGGUCGUCGGUUCGAUCCCGGCUAGCUCCACAAAAGAUUUUUGAUAAUUAAUUCUUCUUAGUGAAAAUAGAAGAUUAAAGUCGUCGGUUUCCCGAUAAAUCGGGAGCUGGCAAUACUAGUUUUUUUUAAAAGUAAAGAAUUUUGUUCCCAAGUGGAACACAAUACGUUACAAUGUGGAAAUUGACGUGGUAACGUUCUUAACGACACAACUUUGGUAAGUUAUUAAGGGCGUACGGGGAAUGCCUAGGCACAUGGAGCCGAUUAAGACGUGGUAACUG